ACAAGAGUUAAUCCUGUUGAAUACCCAGCCUGCUGAGGGCACUCUUCCCGCACGCGGUUUGGACCAUAGGAUCUUUCUUAAAAUCGAUCAAGGCCGUCAGUUUCCAUUGUUUUCACAGAUUUUUUUCACCGUGGGUUGUCUUUUUACGUAGAUUGUAACUGGAUCCGGUGUAAUCUGGCCCCAUCCGUCAGUCUCAUCCCACGAUGAAGGCGUCGUAGAAAAAAGUCACCGCUCCCCUGCUUCUCCUUCAUCUCUGCCCUUCCUUCGUUCUCCCCUAAUCCGUGGCCCAUCCCCACCUCGGAACCCUAGCGGCGGCCUCCUUCGACGCCUGCUGCGCGUGUGCACGGGCCUCGCUGCCGCUGGCACAGCUCCUCCGCGUGUCUGCCCCGGUCUGCACCGUUGCGGGGGCACCCUGCGGUUCCAGCCCGACGAGGACGGCGGCAACGGGAAGGUUGCGGCUGAGCUUGCGCCGGGGGAGAUCGCAAAGAGGUGCGGCCCCGAGGAUUUUGGAAGGGAUGAAAAGAGGGGGUUGGUUUGUGGAUCCCGUGCUAUUCCCGUACAUCUCGCAGCUGGUGUUGUCGGCGCUCGUGUUUGCCGGCACCCUGAAGGAUGACGCAGACGUCUGGGGCAGGGUGGUUUCCGGUGCUGCUAGGAAGGGGUUGUCGGACUAUCGGUGCAGGAGUUCACGUCCUGGGUGUUCUGCGAGUCAGAGCCAACAAUUAUAUGCAGUUUGCUAGCAGAGGGCAGCCUCUGGUUUGAUCUAAAAAGGAUAUGUAGUCUGCUUGAUUGGUGCCUUUCUUGGCUUCAGAGGAAGAUUCCCGUGGAUUUCCUUUCCAAGUGCAUGCUGUUACUAUACUUGUUAGACCAGUGCCUCUUCCAUGUAUUAGUUCUUAAUCAGCAUGUAUAUUACUCUCCCCCAUCACGGGGUCAGGAGCCGUGGAGGCGGCGCUUAGUUGUACAGGCCGACGAACGUCAAGGCAUCAUAGGAGCCACAAUGAUGGAUAACGCUGAGGGGGAGAAGAAGGCGCUCUAGCGGCGCUUGGUCGGGCAGAGGAGGCAUGGGGAUGUGGAGAUCUGGUGCAGAACAACAGAGGCGUGUGGUGUAGAGAAGUGCUGGGGAGAGAGGAUACGUCGUUGGUUUUGUUGAUGCUACUUGCCACUACCAGAACAAGGCUACAGCCUGUGAGAAGCACUGUGCUUCUGCUUGCUGCUAACGUUGAGUGGAGUCAGCGAUUAGUGAGAGAGAUCGGGAGAUGGAGACAUGGAGUGCUGCUAGCUGAUGUGCUACUUAUUUCUUGGACAGUGAGUUGAGUGAUGGUGCUGCAUUUUGAUUACAAAGAAAUUCAGAGAGGGAGCUUCAGAGCUGGACUGUUUUUGGUAUGGUAUUUUAGAAUUUUCAUUGCCAUAAUUUAGAUAAAUAUUAGUCUCUAAUCUGAUUUGUUGGACUGUGAGUUCAGUGAUGGUGUUGAAUGUUGACUACAUAGAAAUUCAAAGAGAGAGCUGGAAUGUUGGUAUUUUAGAUUUUCAUAUGUAGAUGCCAUAAUUUCGUUAUUGCUCACAGCCCUCUACACAUCCGGUCCGAGGGUGAAGUGCAACUGUAUCUGCCGAGCACACAUAUGGUAGAGGGUGGUACAAGGGUCUCCUUCGACCAAACCGUGGCAGGUCCAAGAUUGCGCCAUCCAGGAGCUGUGUUGAACAUGACCCACCUCCGCUUGCUCUCAGACCGGCUGCCACACCCUGGAGUGGUGCUGAAUCAGGACCUGCCACCACUCAAUCUCGGACCGGCUGCCGCAAACCUGCAAGGAUGACGAACAUGACCCUUUAUGGUGCGGUCCAUUGAUGUUUCAAACUAAUAAUUCAGUGUUACAAGAUAUUGCUUCCAAACCCUGGGUUUUACUCCUUAGCUUGAUUUUUGUUUCACUGUUAUUGGAUUACAAAUCAAUAGUAUGCUAUUUCCCUGGAAUUACUCAGCCUGAUAGGAGGCAGAGGUAGGUAUGCAUGACGAUAUGCUUUAGUGGAUUUGCAGUUGUGGUGUGAUUUAGAUGUGAGUUCCAGUAGCGUCUGAUUGUUUGAAUCUAUAUUUUGAUAUGUCUGGUUUGUUCUCAUUGGAUUUUGGGGACAAAGAUAAGAGCUGAACGCUGAUGUUGAUCAAGAGUUGAUGCCUGUAUCAUUUUAUUUCCAAAUAAAACCAUCCCGGUAAUUUUUUAUUGGAUCUAUAUUCUUGCCAAGAGCAUACAUAGUGUGGCUGCAGAUUGAUACCACGAGUAUAAGGGGUACACUUUUAUUUUUUUCCAUUUUCUUUACCUGCAUAGAUGAUUUUCCCUGAUGACGUUUUAGCAAGUAUUAGGAGUAAUGUGUAGUUGUUUGCUACUAGAUUAUACCUACAAGCUCUAUUCCCUAUUCUAUGUUUCUUUGCCAAAAAUUCAGCAUUGCUAGCUAACAGUUUUUUUCCUGUGUUCAAAGUGAUGUGAUUUCGAAACUGAGCAUUUGUGUUUUACCUCUUUCAUUGCAUUAUAUAUAUAUAUAAUAGUACUCACAUGUCAUUUCUUAUUUCUCGCUAAUGCUUAUUCACCUUUUAACUAUUAUAAAGUUUUCUUCUUUUUCUAGCCCUUCGGCCAACAAGAUUAAUGCUUCCAUUUAUUUUCACUUUUUUUUAUCUGACGUGCCAUCUAGAAGUUCAAUAAAAGUGUGUUAGCUACUUGGUUGCCAUUUGUAUAAUGUAUAGUCAUUUUUUUUGCAUCUUUUGAUCUUAUUAGCCGCCUCCUCUGUUUACAAAGCUUUUGAUGUAGUUGCAUUCAUUUUGUAACUGCUAAAAAUAUUGUGGUGCAUUUAUUUAUCAUUUUCUAUUUUUUGAGUGGAGAUGAUUUGGAGAUAAUUGUGCUAAAAUACCACAGUGAGUCAGUCACCUGUUUACCGAGACUCCUAUUGCUUGCGGAUGUUGUCCAAUAAAUGGAAAAUUGACUGUAUCUAAAGAAGGUGCUAUUACUAAUAUAUCAAGCUCUUAGCUAAAUUAGUUAGGAACUUGGUCAUUUUUGUCUGGUUUACAACAUAAGCUUGCUAGAAGAAGUCCUUAAUUAGCAACUAUGUUUCUUCGUUGUAGUCACAAUGUCAGAUCCAUUUAGAUCCCAUAUGAGCCCAUUCAAAUCUUUCUGCAACCAUUUGCAUUAUUUCUACUGCGACCCAUCUCAUCAUAUCUAAUAGAUUCAUUCCAGUUAUGAAUCUACCAAUUGAUUUUAUGGGGCUACUUCAGUAGGCCGAACUUUAGUCCGUACAUUGUUUUCACUGGAAUUUCUUAUAUAAAUAGUGUAUGUGCCCAUAAAAAAACUAUUGGAGUACCCUAAAUAUUUUUGUACUCACUAACCAACUUUAACCUUUGUCAAUUCAUUUUGAAUAACCACACAAACUUACCAAAUAUCUUUUUGGGACAUAUGAACCACCUGUUUUAAUUUCAAGCCGAUUAGAAUUUGAGGUAGAUAUAUAUCAGUGUUUGUAUGUCCCACUCCGUUGCAGGUAAUGGGGCUUAAGACCAUCCGACCAUAGGAUCCUAUGCUUACCUUUCUCACCAACCUUUAGGGAGAAGGUUACCUUUUCUGUGCCCUGUCAGCUACAGUAGCUUCCCAUUUGGAUAUCCAAGCACGAGGCGGCACCAUGGGGAAACCGAAUAGACAUAUCCAGCUGAGGAAAAACUACCCAUUUGCCAGGCUUCACCGGUUUACAAGGAAGAUUAUAGUUGAGCUCAUCAUCAGCCCUUCCAGUGUCAUUCUGCCGUAUAGGCUGAUCAGUUAUGCUAUUCCCAGUAGCCACACUGCAUGCGUAGCUAGAUCUACUAAGAGUGCUUGUGGUUGAUAUUAAAUUUUACAUUUACCUCCGUAAAGACUCUUUAUGUACUCAUGAAGUCAUGAUAUAGUAUCUCAGCUUAUACCAACCAACUAUUGAGCGCAGUACAGUACACUGAGUUUUGUUUCUCCA